UGGGGAAUUUUGGACAAUGGGCGCAAGCCUGAUCCAGCAAUGCCGCGUGCAGGAUGAAGGCCUUCGGGUUGUAAACUGCUUUUGUACGGAGCGAAAAGGUCUGCCCUAAUACGGUGGGCUCAUGACGGUACCGUAAGAAUAAGCACCGGCUAACUACGUGCCAGCAGCCGCGGUAAUACGUAGGGUGCGAGCGUUAAUCGGAAUUACUGGGCGUAAAGCGUGCGCAGGCGGUUAUAUAAGACAGAUGUGAAAUCCCCGGGCUCAACCUGGGACCUGCAUUUGUGACUGUAUAGCUGGAGUGCGGCAGAGGGGGAUGGAAUUCCGCGUGUAGCAGUGAAAUGCGUAGAUAAGCGGAGGAACACAGAGGGCGAAGGCAAUCCCCUGGGCCUGCACCGACGCUCAUGCACGAAAGCGUGGGGAGCAAAC
rnacentral:rRNA from 1 species